rnacentral:rRNA from 1 species
GAGCCCAAGAUUGAAAGCUGGCGUCUUCGGCGUCCGCAUUGUAAUCUCAAGAAGUGUUUUCCGCUUCGGACCAUGCCUAAGUCCCUUGGAAAGGGGCAUCAUAGAGGGUGAUAAUCCCGUACAUGGCUUGGAGCGCCCGAGGCUUUGUGAUACGCUUUCUAAGAGUCGAGUUGUUUGGGAAUGCAGCUCAAAAUGGGUGGUAAAUGCCAUCUAAGGCUAAAUAUUGGGGAGAGACCGAUAGCGAACAAGUACAGUGAUGGAAAGAUGAAAAGAACUUUGAAAAGAGAGUUAAACAGUACGUGAAAUUGCCAAAAGGGAAGGGUAGGAGGUCAGAGAUGCGGCCUGGGAUUCAGCCUUGCUUUUGCUUGGUGUUUUUCCCAGAUUGCAGGCCAACGUCGGUUUUGGGCACUGGAGAAGGGUAGGAGGAACGUGGCACCUCUCGGGGUGUGUUAUAGCCUCCUACUGGAUACAGCGACCGAGACCGAGGACAGCAGCGUACUCGCAAGAGCGGGCCUUCGGGCACCUUUACGCUUAGGGCGUUGGCAUAAUGGCCCUCUACCACCCGUCUUGA